UACAGAGGUUUCAAGCGUUGUUCGGAUUCAUUGGGCGUAAAGGGUGCGUAGGCGGCGCGGUAAGUCGGGUGUGAAAUCUCGGAGCUUAACUCCGAGACUGCAUUCGAUACUGCCGUGCUUGAGGACUGGAGAGGAGACUGGAAUUUACGGUGUAGCGGUGAAAUGCGUAGAUAUCGUAAGGAAGACCAGUGGCGAAGGCGGGUCUCUGGACAGUUCCUGACGCUGAGGCACGAAGGUCAGGGGAGCAAACGGG
rnacentral:rRNA from 1 species